rnacentral:rRNA from 1 species
UUUGGAUAACUGUGGUAAUUCUAGAGCUAAUACAUGCACCAAAGCUCUGACCUUGCGGGAAGAGUGCAUUUAUUAGAACAAAACCAGGCGGCCUUCGGGUCGUUUUUUGUUGACUCAGAAUAACUAAGCUGAUCGCAUGGUCUCGUACCGGCGACGUGUCUUUCAAGUGUCUGCCUUAUCAACUUUCGAUGGUAGUGUAUGUGACUACCAUGGUUGUGACGGGUAACGGAGGAUAAGGGUUUGACUCCGGAGAAGGGGCCUGAGAAAUGGCCACUACGUCUAAGGAUGGCAGCAGGCGCGCAAAUUACCCACUCUCAGUAUGAGGAGGUAGUGACGAGAAAUAACGAGACCGUUCUCUUAGAGGCCGGUCAUCGGAAUGGGUACAAUCUAAACCCUUUAACGAGUAUCUAUGAGAGGGCAAGUCUGGUGCCAGCAGCCGCGGUAAUUCCAGCUCUCAAAAUGCAUAGAAUUAUUGCUGCGGUUAAAAAGCUCGUAGUUGGAUCUGUGCCGCAGGACUCGGUCCGCCUUCGGGCGCGCACUGAGCUCCUCGGCUUUUCUGCUGGUUUUCCCGUUAUGGUCUUAACCGGCCGUAGCGGGUGGCUGGCGAUUUUACUUUGAACAAAUCAGAGUGCUCAACACAGGCGUUUCGCUUGAAUGUUCUUGCAGGCUUCUAAAGAGGAUUUCGGUCCUAUUUUUUGGUUUAUAGGCUGAAAUAAUGGUMMAMGGUCCGAUCCCCCAC